rnacentral:rRNA from 1 species
AGCGAACGCUGGCGGCAGGCUUAACACAUGCAAGUCGAGCGGGCGUAGCAAUACGUCAGCGGCAGACGGGUGAGUAACGCGUGGGAACGCACCUUUUGGUUCGGAACAACACAGGGAAACUUGUGCUAAUACCGGAUAAGCCCUUACGGGGAAAGAUUUAUCGCCGAAAGAUCGGCCCGCGUCCGAUUAGCUAGUUGGUGAGGUAACGGCCCACCAAGGCACCGAUCGGUAGCUGGUUUGAGAGAACGACCAGCCACACUGGGACUGAGACACGGCCCAGACUCCUACGGGAGGCAGCAGUAGGGAAUCUUGGACAAUGGGGGAAACCCUGAUCCAGCCAUGCCGCGUGAGUGAUGAAGGCCUUCGGGUUGUAAAACUCUUUCGGCGGGGACGAUAAUGACGGUACCCGCAGAAGAAGCUCCGGCUAACUUCGUGCCAGCAGCCGCGGUAAUACGAAGGGGGCUAGCGUUGUUCGGAAUUACUGGGCGUAAAGCGCGCGCAGGCGGCCUUUCAAGUCAGGGGUGAAAGCCCGGAGCUCAACUCCGGAACUGCCUUUGAAACUGUCAGGCUUGAGUACGGGAGAGGUGAGUGGAAUUCCCAGUGUAGAGGUGAAAUUCGUAGAUAUUGGGAAGAACACCGGUGGCGAAGGCGGCUCACUGGCCCGUUUCUGACGCUCAGGCGCGACAGCGUGGGGAUCAAACAGGAUUAGAUACCCUGGUAGUCCACGCCGUAAACUAUGGACGCUAGCCGUUGGCAGGCUUGCCUGUCAGUGGCGCAGCUAACGCAUUAAGCGUCCCGCCUGGGG